rnacentral:lncRNA from 1 species
CCAAUUAACAUGGAACACUUACCAACGGAAAAGGGGCCUGAUUAUCCUCGGGCUAAUCUGCCUGUCUUCCACCACUUCCUUUUGCUGCCAUGCCUGACCCAUAUUAUGCUAUGUUCGUGAAAGAUUAAUAAGCAUGUAUUGUAUUAGUAAGCAUGUACUGAAACUGUGUAAUACAAUGUUAUCCCCACUGAAUGCUUUGCUUCACAGACAAGUAUAACUGCAUUUUCAUUCUCUUUUUUUCCAAUGAUCACAGAGUGGAACUCUGCAAAGAGAGAUAUUAUUGCUUCCAGUCAAUGCUCAAAAUCACUGGGUUAUUGUGAUUUCCACUGAGAUGUUGAUGCAUGUUCACUUACAUGAUAACUCUAAUGGAAACCAAAGAGAUGUUAAUAAUUGAUCCCUGGGGUAAUGAGAAAACCGAUGAAAGAGAAUUCCUGAGGAAUUGGAGGUCUUUCCUCUAUCAACGAAAUGGAAAACUGAAGGAGAAUUGGAAAACCAAAAUACUGGACCACCACAGACAAAUUGAUGGGCAUAACUGCGGACCACUAAUCCUAAAGAGAGCGUGGAGGACUACUGCCUACACUGCAAUUAUCUAACUUGCAAAAAAAUACAUGAAGAUGGAAUAAUGGUGCAGUGCGACUCUUGCGAGAGGUGGGCACACAUAGCCUGCCUUCCCGAGGGAAUCACUGAAGAAAACCUGAAUGCUGAGGAGAAAGGGUACAGAUGCAUCAAGUGUGCAUAGUUCAGUUAUUUAACUAAAAUGUACAUUGAAUAAGGAAUUUGCUAAGAGCAGUAUUUUUGUUUUCUUCAGCAAACACUUCUGAAAUAUAAAUGAGAAGAGAAGUGUAACCUUACAUUAAAUUUCAGUAAAGAAAAAAAGCAUUAACUAUCUAUAAAUAUGUUCAGAUUAUUUUUUAUAAAAAUAGUUGAAAUGAAACCUACAAUGUUCUUGUUUCCAUCUCUUGUUACAAUAGGGAAGGUUUUAUAUUUUUAAAAAUACCUCAGUAUAGUUGUGUCCACAUUUUCAAUGGAGAUUUCACAAUGGUAACAAAUUAUGACAGGGCAUCAAUCAUCCAUAAAGGUUUGUUACCUCUGAAAUUUCUCAUACUGUGCUCUCAGGCUGAUGCCCUAUGACAUACAAAGCAAAUGGGGCCAGAGGUACCCCCUCGGUCAUACUUUGGUACCCCUAGACCAGAAGUGUUGCAUGGGUUUUUGUUCAUUUCAUUCUCAACAUAGUCAUUUGGAUGUUUAUCACAACAUUUUAUGC